rnacentral:rRNA from 1 species
UUCCAUUAGGCAGUUGGUGAGGUAACGGCUCACCAAACCUUCGAUGGAUAGGGGUUCUGAGAGGAAGGUCCCCCACAUUGGAACUGAGACACGGUCCAAACUCCUACGGGAGGCAGCAGUGAGGAAUAUUGGUCAAUGGGCGCAGGCCUGAACCAGCCAAGUAGCGUGAAGGAUGACUGCCCUAUGGGUUGUAAACUUCUUUUAUAUGGGAAUAAAGUUUUCCACGUGUGGAAUUUUGUAUGUACCAUAUGAAUAAGGAUCGGCUAACUCCGUGCCAGCAGCCGCGGUAAUACGGAGGAUCCGAGCGUUAUCCGGAUUUAUUGGGUUUAAAGGGAGCGUAGGUGGACAGUUAAGUCAGUUGUGAAAGUUUGCGGCUCAACCGUAAAAUUGCAGUUGAUACUGGCUGUCUUGAGUACAGUAGAGGUGGGCGGAAUUCGUGGUGUAGCGGUGAAUGCUUAGAUAUCACGAAGAACUCCGAUUGCGAAGGCAGCUCACUGGACUGCAACUGACA